AGUGAACGCUGGCGGUAGGCCUAACACAUGCAAGUCGAACGGCAGCACAGUAAGAGCUUGCUCUUACGGGUGGCGAGUGGCGGACGGGUGAGGAAUACAUCGGAAUCUACUUUUUCGUGGGGGAUAACGUAGGGAAACUUACGCUAAUACCGCAUACGACCUACGGUUGAAAGCAGUGGAUCUUCGGACCUUGCGCGAUUGAAUGAGCCGAUGUCGGAUUAGCUAGUUGGCGGGGUAAAGGCCCACCAAGGCGACGAUCCGUAGCUGGUCUGAGAGGAUGAUCAGCCACACUGGAACUGAGACACGGUCCAGACUCCUAAGGGAGGCAGCAGUGGGGAAUAUUGGACAAUGGGCGCAAGCCUGAUCCAGCCAUACCGCGUGGGUGAAGAAGGCCUUCGGGUUGUAAAGCCCUUUUGUUGGGAAAGAAAAGCAGCAGGUUAAUACCCCGCUGUUCUGACGGUACCCAAAGAAUAAGCACCGGCUAACUUCGUG
rnacentral:rRNA from 1 species